rnacentral:rRNA from 1 species
UACGUAGGGGGCUAGCGUUGUCCGGAAUCAUUGGGCGUAAAGAGCGUGUAGGCGGUCCGGUAAGUCCGCUGUGAAAGUCGGGGGCUCAACCCUCGAAUGCCGGUGGAUACUGCCGGGCUAGAAUCCGGAAGAGGCGAGUGGAAUUCCUGGUGUAGCGGUGGAAUGCGCAGAUAUCAGGAGGAACACCAAUAGCGAAGGCAGCUCGCUGGGACGGUAUUGACGCUAAGGCGCGAAAGCGUGGGGAGCAAACAGG